ACGAGGACGACGCUGGCGGCGUGCCUAACACAUGCAAGUCGAGCGGAGUCGGUAAGAGGAAGUUUCGGAUGGAAUCUUAUUGAUUUAGCGGCGGACGGGUGAGUAACGCGUGAGCGACCAACCUUGCACAGGGGGAUAACGGACCGAAAGGUUCACUAAUACCGCAUGAGACCACGGUGUUGCAUGACACAGAGGUCAAAGGAGCAAUCCGGUGCAAGACGGGCUCGCGUCCGAUUAGGUAGUUGGAGGGUAACGGCCCACCAAGCCUAUGAUCGGUAGCCGACCUGAGAGGGUGAUCGGCCACAUUGGAACUGGGAUACGGUCCAAACUCCUACGGGAGGCAGCAGUGGGGAAUAUUGGGCAAUGGGGGAAAAACCCCUGACCCAGCAACGCCGCGUGAAGGAAGAAGGUUUUCGGAUUGUAAACUUCUGUCCUUGGUGAAGAGAAGAAGACGGUAGCCAAGGAGGAAGCCCCGGCUAACUACGUGCCAGCCGCAGC
rnacentral:rRNA from 1 species